rnacentral:rRNA from 1 species
AACGAACGCUGGCGGCAGGCUUAACACAUGCAAGUCGAACGCAUCCUUCGGGGUGAGUGGCAGACGGGUGAGUAACGCGUGGGAACGUGCCCUUCAGUUCGGGAUAACCCAGGGAAACUUGGGCUAAUACCGGAUACGUGCGAGAGCAGAAAGAUUUAUCGCUGAAGGAUCGGCCCGCGUCUGAUUACCUAGUUGGUGGGGUAAUGGCACACCAAGGCGACGAUACGUAGCUGGGCUGAGAGGAUGAUCAGCCACAUUGGGACUGAGACACGGCACACAAGCCUUCGGGAGGCAGCAGUAGGGAAUAUUGGACAAUGUGCGCAAGCCUGAUCCAGCCAUGCCGCGUGAGUGAUGAAGGCCUUAGGGUUGUAAAGCUCUUUCGUCCGGGACGUUAAUGACGGUACCGGAAGAAGAAGCCCCGGCUAACUUCGUGCCAGCCGCCGCCGUAA